rnacentral:rRNA from 1 species
GAUGAACGCUGGCGGCGUGCCUAAUACAUGCAAGUCGAGCGAACAGACGAGGAGCUUGCUCCUCUGACGUUAGCGGCGGACGGGUGAGUAACACGUGGAUAACCUACCUUUACGACUGGGAUAACUUCGGGAAACCGGAGCUAAUACCGGAUAAUAUAUUGAACCGCAUGGUUCCAUAGUGAAAGACGGUUUUGCUGUCUCUUAUAGAUGUAUCCGCGCCGCAUUAGCUAGUUGGUAAGGUAACGGCUUACCAAGGCAACGAUGCGUAGCCGACCUGAGCGGGUAAUCGGCCACACUGGAACGGGAACACGGUCCAGACUCCUACGGGAGGCAGCAGUAGGGAAUCUUCCGCAAUGGGCGAAAGCCUGACGGAGCAACGCCGCGUGAGUGAUGAAGGUCUUCGGAUCGUAAAACUCUGUUAUUAGGGAAGAACAAAUGUGUAAGUAACUAUGCACGUCUUGACGGUACCUAAUCAGAAAGCCACGGCUAACUACGUG